GUAUAGCAAUAGCUAGUUGCAUCAUAGUAGAUAUGAUGCAAGAUCGACUAUGUUGAAUAAAAUUCUAGGUAGAAUUAUGAUAAUGACAUUGUCUGCCUAUGUGUCUUGACCAAAUUACGUGCCAGCAGUCGCGGUAAUACGUAGAAGACUAGUGUUAUUCAUGUUUAAUCGGUUUAAAGGGUACCUAGACGGUAGAUCAAGCUUUCUAAUAAAGGAAAAGGACUAGUUUACUAGAGUUACUUAUGAGGGGGUAUUAAAGUACUGCUGGUGUAGAGAUGAAAUUCUGUCAUACCUCUUUUCAAAAGAAAAACCAUGGCACAGGUAUAGGCGAAGGCAUCCCCUUAUGUGAUAACUGACGUUGAGGGACGAAGGCUUUGUGUAGCGAACAGGAUUAGAUACCCCAGUAGUCGAAGCAGAAAAUGAUGAAUGUCAUAGAUUAGAUAUAUAAGUUUAUUCUAUAAAUGAAAGUGUAAGCAUUCCACCUCAUGAGUAAUUUGGCAACAUUGGAACUGAAAUCAUUAGACCGUUUCUGAAACCAGUAGUGAAGUAUGUUGUUUAAUUUGAUGUCCCGCAAAAAACCUUACCACAAUUUGAAUAUUUAUAUUGUUUAUUGUUUUAUUCUUAAUUUUCUUGAAGAAAAUUAAGAAAAAAGCAAUAAGAUAUAAUUACAAGCGUUGCACGGCUGUCUUCAGUUAAUGUCGCGAGACUUUGGUUAGUUCCAUUAAAUUAACGUAAACCCUUACUUUAUUUUUAUAUA
rnacentral:rRNA from 1 species